AGCAGCAGCCGCGGGAAUACGUAGGGGGCAAGCGUUAUCCGGAAUUACUGGGUGUAAAGGGAGCGUAGACGGUUAAACAAGUCUGAAGUGAAAUGCCGGGGCUCAACCCCGGAGCCGCUUUGGGAACUGUAGAACUGGAGUGUCGGAGGGGUAAGCGGAAUUCCCAGUGUAGCGGUGAAAUGCGUAGAUAUUGGGAGGAACACCGGCGGCGAAGGCGGCUUACUGGACGACAACUGACGUUGAGGCUCGAAGGCGUGGGUAGCAAACAGGAUUAGAUACCCCAGUAGUCCCUGUCUCUUAUAC
rnacentral:rRNA from 1 species